UUAUUGCUCCGUCUUCAACGGUUGUCGUGCGAGCUGCGUCGAUGUGUUUGUUUGACCGUGUGUUAUUAGAUUUGCUGUAAUGAAAUGAGACGUAGUUCGCGAGCACGAAAGUGCCAGAAGAUGGCUUGAGUCUCGCUGUAAGCACGCCGUAUGCGUGGCGCGCCAGCUAAAUGUGGACCAACGAUUUUCAUGCAAUGGAGUGCGUUCCCUUUGUCUCCGCUUGUGUUCGUGGAAAGUUUGGUGGACGGCGCAGAGAAGUAUUAUUAGCGCGCCUCAGCUCGUCCACUACCCAGUGGCUUGUUUGCUGCAAGUAACAUCGCAGACGCAUCACUGGAAACUUGGAGAGUGCCUUUCGACCUCGUCGUACUGUUGAAACGUGGCGAGGCCGUGACCCACAACAUUAACUACAAGAUCGAGGAGCCCCAAGAAAUGCCAACCCUGUGGAUAUAUGGCUGCAGCAGCAUGGCGUGUGAUCUGGAUCGUCAUGACAGGCUCCACCGUCGCCGUUACUAGACGGACCAAAUGAGGCCAAAAACUAGCCUUUCCUCGCUCCAUUCCUGGGAAGUGAAAUAGCAGGUGGUCAUGUAAGAAUGAACUUGCAACCAUGUGGGCAGUAGCCAAAGCUCCCUACAGUUCAUGCUGGUGGUGGAAUGAUAAGACAAACCGCAAUAUUUAUUUGUUUACUUAUUCACUUAAUAUUUAUUUAUUCAUAUCUCAUGAAUACUGUGCAGUUUUUUUAGCAAGGAGUCAGGUAAAAUAAAGAAAUAUUGUUGCAUCAAAGUAAACGUUAUUUGAAAAAGCAUAAUUCACGUAGCACGAAUUCAUGGACACUGUAAAUUUUGAAGAAACAGAGCAGUAAGGUUAACAAAUCUUAUAUAACAAAAAAUGAGAUCACAUUUCUGUUGAACCUAAUACCAUAAUUUAAUCUGUCAAAUUAGAGAUACCAUAUGCUGCUCUAAUAUACAAUCACUAAUUUAUGAGUAGAUGCGCGAAACUCUCAAACGUUGCAACAUUUUCAUGCUAGCUGUAAAUUCAUAUAUACAGUUUGUUGACUUUAGACAUAGCAGAUGGAGUCUGCAGAACUAUGAUAUCUCUUUCUGGCACAGAGACGGGCAUUAGUAAGCUUCGUGGUGUUAUUUUUCUUAAACCUGCCAAAUAGACCUUCCUGCAACAGGUAGAAUUCUCAAAUGCCACAAACUUAAUUCAAAUUAGUGCUGUGGUUGUCUCAAAAGUAUUUCUGUAUUUUGGAUGUAUUUGAGUAGGAAAAUUUACAGAAUUAACGAACUUGUGCUAGCUCUUUUUUUUGUUUACAGUUGCAAACUAAGUCCUUUUCCUUCAAGUUUUGCUAUUUUCAGCAAAUUUUAAUAAAAAUUGAUGGUGUUAAUGUAAAAACUAUAAUUUAAACAUUUUUAAAUGUAUCAAACCUCAUCAAAUUUGGUUGCAUAGUUGCCGAGAAAAACGAUUUUACUGUUCAUGUGCAUUACAUAGGAGCUCCUGAGCUAGAUCUCUUUUUUAGUCAUUGCGUGUGUCGGUCUGGUUUGUAUUUCUCACCCUAAUUAGAAUAUUGGCUCUGAUCUCAAAAUUGUUUUCCUUACAAUAAAAUACAAGCUUUUAAACUUUUUUACGAUAUAUGCUGUACUGCUCUAUGAUAACCCCUGUUUGCCACAUUUUUGCAGGGCCUACCAGUGCUAAUUUUACACAUAAACAUAGACUAAAAUGCUGUGUGGUUUCGGUAUAUGGUGUACUUAUCUGUGAAAGCCAUUAUUUGCCACAUUUUUGCAGCGACUGCCAGUGUUAUUUUUGCUCAGACUAAAAUGCUGUGUCGUUUCGUCAGGCUGACACAACAUUGCAGUGCACAUUCAUAUCAGUCUAUUUUCAGGCUUUAGUAUCCAAACAUUUAAUGUGCACUGCUGGAACAGGCACUCCUUUUGCAGUUUUAAUGGUAUGGUUUCUUGUCCUAGUCAAGCCUGUUAUUGCGAGGUGUCAACAGUAAUCAAGUCUGCCACUGAUUCUUUUACCUCAUGUUUCGUGUGUUUGCACCACAAGCUUGACCUGAGAAGCAUGUUGGCAGCUACAGUUUGUGUGUUGCAAGUUCUAGUCUGAAGUGUGUAUGU